rnacentral:rRNA from 1 species
CACGUAGGGUGCGAGCGUUGUCCGGAAUUAUUGGGCGUAAAGAGCUCGUAGGCGGUGUGUCGCGUCGGCCGUGAAAACCUGCAGCUUAACUGUGGGCUUGCGGUCGAUACGGGCAUCACUGGAGUUCGGCAGGGGAGACUGGAAUCCCUGGUGUAGCGGUGAAAUGCGCAGAUAUCAGGAGGAACACCGGUGGCGAAGGCGGGUCUCUGGGCCGAUACUGACGCUGAGGAGCGAAAGCGUGGGGAGCGAACAGG